CAUGAUUAGCUAUUUAUAGCUAGGAUUGUAUAGAGGGUAGCAGCAGUCGCCCCAACUCCGAUGAUUAUGUGAGAAUUUAAUUUUCAUGUAAUUGUAAGGUGAGAAACAACGAUUAUGUUGGAAACUUUAAUUUUAUUAAAAAAUUAAGGAACUGU
rnacentral:ncRNA from 1 species